AUAUUGGACAAUGGGGGAAACCCUGAUCCAGCAAUGCCGCGUGAGUGAAGAAGGCCUUAGGGUUGUAAAGCUCUUUCGCCCGCGAAGAUAAUGACGGUAGCGGGAGAAGAAGCCCCCGCUAACUCCGUGCCAGCAGCCGCGGUAAUACGGAGGGGGCUAGCGUUGUUCGGAAUUACUGGGCGUAAAGCGUACGUAGGCGGAUGCGCAGGUUGGGGGUGAAAUCCCGGGGCUUAACCUCGGAAUUGCCCUCAAAACUGCACCUCUUGAUACCGAGAGGGGUAAGGGGAAUUCCUAGUGUAGAGGUGAAAUUCGUAGAUAUUAGGAAGAACACCAGUGGCGAAGGCGCCUUACUGGCUCGGUACUGACGCUGAGGUACGAAAGCGUGGGGAG
rnacentral:rRNA from 1 species